GUGUCAGCAGCCGCGGUAAUACAGAGGUGGCAAGCGUUGUUCGGAAUUACUGGGCGUAAAGGGCGCGUAGGCGGCCCCGUAAGUCCCGUGUGAAAGCCCCCGGCUCAACCGGGGAAUGGCACGGGAGACUGCAGGGCUUGAGUUCGGGAGAGGGAAGCGGAAUUCCGGGUGUAGCGGUGAAAUGCGCAGAUAUCCGGAGGAACACCGGUGGCGAAGGCGGCUUCCUGGACCGACACUGACGCUGAGGCGCGAAAGCUAGGGGAGCAAACGGGAUUAGAAACCCGCGUAGUCC
rnacentral:rRNA from 1 species